CCUACGGGGUGCAGCAGUGAGGAAUAUUGGUCAAUGGACGAGAGUCUGAACCAGCCAAGUAGCGUGAAGGAUGACUGCCCUAUGGAUUGUAAACUUCUUUUAUAUGGGAAUAAAAUGUUCCACGUGUGGGAUUUUGUAUGUACCAUAUGAAUAAGGAUCGGCUAACUCCGUGCCAGCAGCCGCGGUAAUACGGAGGAUCCGAGCGUUAUCCGGAUUUAUUGGGUUUAAAGGGAGCGUAGGUGGAUUGUUAAGUCAGUUGUGAAAGUUUGCGGCUCAACCGUAAAAUUGCAGUUGAAACUGGCAGUCUUGAGUACAGUAGAGGUGGGCGGAAUUCGUGGUGUAGCGGUGAAAUGCUUAGAUAUCACGAAGAACUCCGAUUGCGAAGGCAGUUCACUGGACUGCAACUGACACUGAGGCUCGAAAGUGUGGGUAUCAAACAGGAUUAGAUACCCUAGUAGUC
rnacentral:rRNA from 1 species